rnacentral:misc_RNA from 1 species
UUUGUAUUUGAAUACCAAAUUAUGAAUGAGGAGAUUAUUUGGGCUAAUGAUAAUGAAAAUAAAAUGUAAUUGCAAGUAACUUAAUGAAAUUAAUAAAUCUAAGCAAAAUAAGCAAAUAGCAAAGCAAAUAAAUUCUUAAAAUAGAUGCAAAGACUAAUUGAUGGGAAAAUUGAUUCUAAAGUUGGGGUUUAUGCAUAAACUAAUUAGGAUUUAUCUUGGUUCAUCCAAUUUUAAAAGAAAAUAG